AAUUUGGGAGUUGCAACAUUGUAGCGCCAAAAAGAUUAAAAUAGUGCAUGCAAUCAAUGCCUACUUUUUUGGGCUAUACUGCAUGGUUUGUUUAAAGUUUUAGGCACUUUCGUAUUAAAUUUUGGCCUUGAUGAAAAAUCUACAUGCCAGCUGAGUAGGAUUUAUGUUUUUGUCAAUUUAGGUAUUUACAACUCACCAUUGGA
rnacentral:misc_RNA from 1 species